UUAGAUUAAGUAACAAAGGGCGUACGGUGAAUGCCUAGGUGUUUGCUAGCGAUGAAGGACGUGAAAGGCUGCGAUAAGCAGCGGGGAGCCGCCAAAUAGGCCUCGAUCCGCUGAUUUCCGAAUGGGGCAACCCAAUCUGGCGUUAAACCCAGAUUAUCCUUUAGAUGAAUACAUAGUCUUUAGGAAGCGAACCCGGAGAACUGAAACAUCUCAGUACCCGGAGGAAGAGACAUCAAUUGAGAUUCCCUUAGUAGCGGCGAGCGAACGGGGAAGAGCCUAAACUACGUGAGUGUGAUAGCCCGCAGGCGUUGCUCACGUAGGGUUGUGGGACGUAUAUCCCUGGUAUUGCGGUGCCAGGCUGGAGUUACAAAGUAAAUGCAUAGUCAAACGGUACUGGAAAGACCGGCCAUAGAGGGUAAAAGCCCCGUCGACGACAUGUGUUUGCCUCCAGUUAUACGCUCCCGAGUACAAUGGGGCACGAGAAAUCCUGUUGGAAGCUGGGUGGACCAUCAUCCAAGGCUAAAUACACGCAAACAACCGAUAGUGCACAAGUACCGUGAGGGAAAGGUGAAAAGAACCCCUAUAAGGGGAGUGAAAUAGACCCUGAAACCGUACGCCUACAAGCAGUGGGAGCACGAUGUUCAUCUUCGGAUGGACCGUGUGACUGCGUGCCUUUUGCAUAAUGAGUCAGCGAGUUGCUGUUACGUAGCAAGGUUAAACCGUUCUAGGUGAAGCCGUAGGGAAACCGAGUCUUAACCGGCGAAUAAGUUGCGUGACGCAGACCCGAAACCAAGUGAGCUACCCUUGACCAGGUUGAAGUUCCGGUAAAACGGAAUGGAGGACCGAACCCACUGACGUUGAAAAGCCAGGGGAUGAGUUGAGGGUAGGGGUGAAAGGCCAAUCAAACUUGGAGAUAGCUGGUUCUCUCCGAAACCUAUUUAGGUAGGGCCUCGGAACAUUCACCAACGGAGGUAGAGCACUGAAUGGGUAAGGGGGCUAACCGCCUACCGACCCCAAUCAAACUCCGAAUGCCGUUGAGUGUUAUUCCGGGAGUCAGUCUACGGGUGAUAACGUCCGUAGGCGAGAGGGCAACAACCCAGAUCGCCAGCUAAGGCCCCUAAGUGACGACUAAGUGGAAAAGGAUGUGGAAGCACACAGACAACCAGGAGGUUGGCUUAGAAGCAGCCAUCCUUGAAAGAAAGCGUAAUAGCUCACUGGUCAAGUGAAUCCGCGCCGAAAAUACACCGGGGCUUAAGUCGUCCGCCGAAGCUGCGAAUUGCACAUCCUCCUUCGGGAGCGUGCAGUGGUAGGAGAGCAUUCCAGCCGCCGUCGAAGGGAUACCGAUAAGGAGUCCUGGAGGUUCUGGAAGAGAGUAUGCUGACGUGAGUAACAACGAAACCGGGUGAGAAACCCGGUCGCCGAAAGCCGAAGGAUUCCUGGGCCAUGCUAAUCAGCCCAGGGUGAGUCGGGACCUAAGUCGAGGCCGAAAGGCGUAGGCGAUGGCAAGUGGGCAAAUAUUCCCACACCACGAGGCGAGGUGAUGAAGAUGAGGGACAACGGAGAACGCAAGGUCCGCCGGUAAUUGGAUUCCGGUUCAACCCCGUAGGCAGUUUGAGUAGGAGGCCAUAGGCCACAAACGCUCGAAUAUUAUGCCGAGAGGGGAGGAGGAAGGCUCCUUAUUUGGAGCCUAUGUCAACGGAUUGUAGCGCCGCUUCCAAGAAAAAUCUCGCAUCCGAGCCCGUAUCGUGCCCGUACCGCAAACCAACACAGGUCGGCUAGUAGAGUAUACUAAGGCGUUUGAGAGAACCCUGGUUAAGGAACUCGGCAAAUUGACACCGUAACUUCGGGAGAAGGUGUGCCCCCGGUCAGUGAGAGCCCACGCGGCUCGUAGCUAAAAGGGGUUGCAGAGAGCAGGGGGUAGCGACUGUUUACCAAAAACACAGGACUCUGCGAACUCUAGAGAGAGGACGUAUAGGGUCUGACGCCUGCCCGGUGCUGGAAGGUUAAGGGGAGUGGUUAACCGCAAGGUGAAGCUGCGAACCGAAGCCCCAGUAAACGGCGGCCGUAACUAUAACGGUCCUAAGGUAGCGAAAUUCCUUGGCGGGUAAGUUCCGUCCUGCACGAAUGGCGUAACGACUUCCCCACUGUCUCAACCAGGGACUCAGUGAAAUCGAAUUAGCGGUGAAGAUGCCGUUUACCCGCGGCAAGACGGAAAGACCCCGUGAACCUUGACUGUAGCUUGGCACUGGUAUUCGGGUUCAUCUGUGUAGGAUAGGUGGGAGACUGGGAAGCGGGCACGCUAGUGUCGGUGGAGUCGUCCUUGAAAUACCACCCUGAUGAACCUGGAUGUCUAACCUGGGACCCUGAAGCGGGUCUGGGGACAGUGUCUGGUGGGCAGUUUGACUGGGGCGGUCGCCUCCUAAAAUGUAACGGAGGCGCGCAAAGGUUGGCUCAGGCUGUAUAGAAAUCAGCCGCAGAGUGUAAAGGCAUAAGCCAGCUUGACUGUGAGACAUACAGGUCGAACAGGUACGAAAGUAGGCCUUAGUGAUCCGGUGAUUCCAUAUGGAAGGGUCAUCGCUCAACGGAUAAAAGGUACUCCGGGGAUAACAGGCUUAUCUCCUCCAAGAGUUCACAUCGACGAGGAGGUUUGGCACCUCGAUGUCGGCUCAUCACAUCCUGGGGCUGGAGCAGGUCCCAAGGGUUCGGCUGUUCGCCGAUUAAAGUGGUACGCGAGCUGGGUUCAGAACGUCGUGAGACAGUUCGGUCCCUAUCUGCCGUGGGCGCAGGAAAAUUGAGAGGAAUUGCCCCUAGUACGAGAGGACCGGGGUGAACGCAUCCCUAGUGUACCGGUUGUCGCGCCAGCGGCACCGCCGGGUAGCUACAUGCGGACAGGAUAACCGCUGAAAGCAUCUAAGCGGGAAGCCCCCCUCAAGAUUAAUUUUCCCUUCGGGUUUAACCCCGACUGCAAGGUCCGUCGAAGACGACGACGUGGAUAGGCCUCAAGUGGACGCGUGGCAACACGUGGAGCUGAGAGGUACUAAUCGACCGAGAGGCUUAAUCUUUGAUUUGCUUGCUUUCGACUCCAGGGUCGAUUGGACGAGCUUAAUCGAUAAGAUGCCUCGUAUUCGCCCAACGCUUUAUAAUAAUAUCGCGGAAACUCAAAAGACACUGUCCUGUGCGAUUUUCCCUGCGCCCCCGG
rnacentral:rRNA from 1 species